rnacentral:lncRNA from 1 species
GGAGCACUCACCAGGAGUGGGUGUGAAACUGGCCCUGGAGUAGUUGUCGGCUCAGAAAAGCUUCUAUUUCCUGUUCAGAGCUCAAAAACAGUUGUCAGAUGGGAAGGAUGAGUCCAAAGUUCUCCUGGCUCUGGCAAGGAGCAUUCAGGUGGAAACAUGACUGCUAGAGAAUUUUACUGAAAGAUCGUGAACUUCCCCACAACUUCCUCAAAAAUCAAGUGAGCUGCCACGAGAACGGCUCAGACUGCAUAUCACGUGGGGAAAACCAGCAGACAGCCAUCAAGGCUCAGAGAUCCUCCCUUCUCAAAUAAGUUUACGAGGAAGGAACCCAUGAAAUCAAGCUACAUUUCAGGGAACUUAAACCUGUGUAAGAAAAUACAUGUGAAACAUUACCUAUAAACUAACGAUUCAUAGGAUUCAUGAGAAGCCAUUCAGUCAUGAAAGUGCUCUUUAUAGUAUUAAAAC